UGGCCAUCAUAGGUCAUGAAGAGAGAUGAUGACAUUAAAAUCAUUCUCAAUAGGAUUAUGCUGAGGCCC
ensembl:snoRNA Gm25499 small nucleolar RNA SNORD115